rnacentral:SRP_RNA from 1 species
AGCGGGAGUCGGGCGGACGUAGCCGUCGCCAACCUGGUCAGGUCCUGACGGAAGCAGCCACAACGAUUUCGUUACGGGUCGUUCCGGCUCCUAUUUAU